UAUCACACAUGUAAUUUUAAAAUGUACAUAUAUGUACUUUUUUCAGAAUAAAUCAUUUCAAACAUUGACACGGCAUUUGGAGAAUCGGAAUGAAAAAAUCAGUAAAUUACAAAAAGAAAUAACUAGGCUUAAACAUGAAUAUUCUAAGUUACAAGAAACAACAAAGUGUCAAGCAGAAGAAAGUAGAAAGUGUCAGAUAACCCAA